rnacentral:rRNA from 1 species
CAGUAGCCACGGUAAUACGGAGGGAGCUAGCGUUGUUCGGAAUUACUGGGCGUAAAGCGCGCGUAGGCGGUUACUCAAGUCAGAGGUGAAGGCCCGGGGCUCAACCCCGGAACUGCCUUUGAAACUAGGUGACUAGAAUCUUGGAGAGGUCAGUGGAAUUCCGAGUGUAGAGGUGAAAUUCGUAGAUAUUCGGAAGAACACCAGUGGCGAAGGCGACUGACUGGACAAGUACUGACGCUGAGGAGCGAAAGCGUGGGGAGCGAACAGGAUUAGAUACCCGCGUAGUCCCUGUCUCUUAUAC